AGUGAACGCUGGCGGUAGGCCUAACACAUGCAAGUCGAACGGCAGCACAGUAAGAGCUUGCUCUUACGGGUGGCGAGUGGCGGACGGGUGAGGAAUACAUCGGAAUCUACUUUUUCGUGGGGGAUAACGUAGGGAAACUUACGCUAAUACCGCAUACGACCUACGGGUGAAAGCAGGGGAUCUUCGGACCUUGCGCGAUUGAAUGAGCCGAUGUCGGAUUAGCUAGUUGGCGGGGUAAAGGCCCACCAAGGCGACGAUCCGUAGCUGGUCUGAGAGGAUGAUCAGCCACACUGGAACUGAGACACGGUCCAAACUCCUACGGGAGGCAGCAGUGGGGAAUAUUGGACAAUGGGCGCAAGCCUGAUCCAGCCAUACCGCGUGGGUGAAGAAGGCCUUCGGGUUGUAAAGCCCUCUUGUUGGGAAAGAAAAGCAGCAGGUUAAUACCCCGCUGUUCUGACGGUACCCAAAGAAUAAGCACCGGCUAACUUCGUG
rnacentral:rRNA from 1 species